rnacentral:rRNA from 1 species
CAGCCGCCACGGUAAUACAGAGGGUGCGAGCGUUAAUCGUAUUUACUGGGCGUAAAGCGUGCGUAGGCGGCUUUUUAAGUCGGAUGUGAAAUCCCUGAGCUUAACUUAGGAAUUGCAUUCGAUACUGGGAAGCUAGAGUAUGGGAGAGGAUGGUAGAAUUCCAGGUGUAGCGGUGAAAUGCGUAGAGAUCUGGAGGAAUACCGAUGGCGAAGGCAGCCAUCUGGCCUAAUACUGACGCUGAGGUACGAAAGCAUGGGGAGCAAACAGGAUUAGAUACCCGCGUAGUCCCUGUCUCUUAUAC